AAGUGGGUCUCCAGAGAGGAGGGUGGUCACCGAUCACAGACAAGCCCCCAAAUGAAAGACCUCCAGAGAAGGGAGACCCUCACUCAAUUUCGGGAUGAUGUGACUCCCCAAGAACUCAUGAGAGACC
rnacentral:pre_miRNA from 14 species